UAGGAAGUACGACGUAGAUCAGGAGUUCUCUGCUGGUGACGACUGCAACAAAUGUACUUGUAAAUACGACGGCAAGGUCACGUGUACACAGAAGAAGUGCCUCCAAUUCUGUGACUACAAGGGUCAGCAAAUCCCCAUAGGAAUGACCAAACCCGCUGGAGACGAUUGUAACACUUGUACAUGCAGACCCAACGGACGACUUGAAUGUACCGAGAAAAUCUGCUUCUGCAGAUAUAAAACAAUGAAGGUUAGAAUCGGAGACAGCGUCCCGGCCGGAGACGAAUGUAACAAGUGCACAUGUAAACCCGACGGACAGUUAUCUUGUUCCGAUAGGA